UACGAAGGGGGCUAGCGUUGUUCGGAAUUACUGGGCGUAAAGCGCACGUAGGCGGGUUUGUAAGUAGGGGGUGAAAUCCCAGAGCUCAACUCUGGAACUGCCUUCUAAACUGCAAGCCUGGAGGUCAGGAGAGGCGAGUGGAAUACCGAGUGUAGAGGUGAAAUUCGUAGAUAUUCGGUGGAACACCAGUGGCGAAGGCGACUCGCUGGACCAACACUGACGCUGAGUGAGCGAAAGCCAGGGGAGCAAACGGG
rnacentral:rRNA from 1 species